CCUCUGCCCCACAUGCCCACGUGGUUCAAGUAGCUCAGUGCUCCUGGGGGUGGGGACUAGGUGGGCCGUUGGACUCCGAGUUCCGCCCUAGGCUCUGCCCCAUCCCUGAGGUGGAUCUCCCCCCAGGUCUGCCCCAUCUGGCCCUCAGCCGCCUGGAGUUCUCCCCGGGCUCCGCCCCCUGCCCUGCCGAGACCCCACCCCUUCCUCCCGAGGCCCCGCCCUCACCGGCCCACAGCAUCAAGGCGCCGCCGCUCCAGCACAGCACCUCUGAAUACCAGUCCUGUUGGAAUUUCCCAACCUAUGUAUCUGCACUUCCCAGUAAGGAAACCAGCCUGUCUUACAGCUAGGACCUCAGCAUGCGAUGAGGCUCCACCAAUAAAAUAGAGCCACGCUAAACUUGGAAUCAGCAGCCAGAAGUAGAAAAAAAUGGGACCCGGAAGCUGCUGGACAACCACAUUGCCACUGCAUGGGCACAGUUUGCCUAAGGGCCCACCACAGAGGAAGGCUUCAAGGAGAGAUGGCAAGAGACAGACACCUUUUGAGCACCAGAUCCAGCAGUACCUGAACCAGGAUCAAUGUAUGGCUCCCAAUUUUUCUAUAACUUGAAACCAGCUUGAGUUUGAGAGGUAUAAGAGAAAGAGAUUCUCAAAAUAAACAAAUAAGAUUAAUCUU